rnacentral:rRNA from 1 species
CGGGCUCAACCCGGGAACCGCAUCCGGAACUGUCGCGCUGGAGUGCAGGAGAGGAAGGUAGAAUUCCCGGUGUAGCGGUGAAAUGCGUAGAGAUCGGGAGGAAUACCAGUGGCGAAGGCGGCCUUCUGGACUGACACUGACGCUGAGGCGCGAAAGCAUGGGUAGCAAACAGGAUUAGAUACCCUGGUAGUCCAUGCCGUAAACGAUGUCGACCAGCCGUUGGGGUCCUAGAGACCCUUGUGGCGAAGUUAACGCGAUAAGUCGACCGCCUGGGGAGUACGGCCGCAAGGUUAAAACUCAAAUGAAUUGACGGGGGCCCGCACAAGCGGUGGAGCAUGUGGUUUAAUUCGAUGCAACGCGAAGAACCUUACCUACCCUUGACAUCCUGCGAACCCGGAAGAGAUUCCGGGGUGCCUUCGGGAGCGCAGAGACAGGUGCUGCAUGGCUGUCGUCAGCUCGUGUUGUGAAAUGUUGGGUUAAGUCCCGUAACGAGCGCAACCCUUGUCCCUCUUUGCCAGCACGUAAUGGUGGGAACUCCAGGGAGACUGCCGGUGACAAACCGGAGGAAGGUGGGGACGACGUCAAGUCAUCAUGGCCCUCACGGGUAGGGCGACACACGUGCUACAAUGGCCGGUACAAAGGGUGGCGAGCUCGCGAGGGUGAGCGAAUCCCGGAAAGCCGGUCUCAGUCCGGAUUGGAGUCUGCAACUCGACUCCAUGAAGUCGGAAUCGCUAGUAAUCGUGCAUCAGAAUGGCACGGUGAAUACGUUCCCGGGCCUUGUACACACCGCCCGUCACACCAUGGAAGUGGACUGCACCAGAAGUGGUUAGCCCAACUGCGGAAGGCGAUCACCACGGUGUGGUUCAUGACUGGGGUGAAGUCGUAACAAGGUAGCCGUAGGGGAACCUGCGGCUG